rnacentral:lncRNA from 1 species
AGUUGAAAUUUUACGGCAGUAGACAAUUGUUCGAUGGACUUCAGCAGCUUAUAGCAUUUUAAAAAGGGAAUCCGAUAUUAAAGUCAAGAAAAGGUGCAAACAUUAGACUUACUGAAACUGUUCUUCCAGAAACUAGAAUGUAAUCAAUACGCAACUUUUACAAUAAAUAUGUCGACACGCACAAAACUAUUACGUGUACACUCAAGGCGCAAACAAUACACCGGAAAACUUUUGAAAAGAAAACUACUAGUAACAACUUAUAAAUGAGUUCAUUUAAAGAGUAAAACGUAUGACCCUUUUUUCUCCUUAUAUCUUAUUUAUAUAUAUAUUCUGUGCAAAGGUUUGUUUUUAUUGUAAAUUAUGGCUAACCAUCCAAUUUUUCCAACU